AUCCCAAAUAAACCUUUUUUAUGUUUAUCUGAUUCAUGGGAGGCAGAUAUGAAAAAUGGUAGUUCGCUGAUAGUGCCUUUUCUAUUAGAAGGUAUGCUAAUAGUACUUACCGCACAUAC
rfam:Morus notabilis contig5744, whole genome shotgun sequence.